rnacentral:rRNA from 1 species
UACGUAGGAGGCGAGCGUUGUCCGGAUUCACUGGGCGUAAAGGGCGCGUAGGCGGCGGCUUGAGUCCCUGCGUGAAAUCUCCCGGCUCAACCGGGAGGGUGCGCGGGAUACUGGGCGGCUUGAGGACAUCAGAGGAGAGCGGAAUCCCCGGUGUAGUGGUGAAAUGCGUAGAUAUCGGGGGAACACCAGUGGCGAAGGCGG